AAUAUUCAGUUUAAGCGCUUGAGUUUAAACUCUUUAUUUUUACACUAUACGUCACAGUAUUUUUGCAAUGACCUGUAUAUUUGGCUCCUCCUCCUAACAAGUCAUUCAAUCUCGUUCGCGCAUGCUUAGUAGACUGGGUAUAUAAACCGAGCACGCUUCUGCAAAUUCCUUUUCGAUCAAGUCUCCGAGCUCCAGAAGCUGCCGUGAACUAACACGGAAAAAUAUUGGAGAAAAAAUUAUGUAGCGGUUCUGAACAAACAUGGCAAAAAGACUUCAUUUUUGUGUUUUUUAAAGUAGCCGAAGGUUUCUUUGAAGAGACUGGUCAACAUUAUGUUCUAGACAAUGGCACCAGAACAGAACACAGAAGUCGGUAGAACCAGCAGAAGUUGUGAUGCCUAAAUCAAGCUAAUUGUUGAUACAGAUUAACCGAUAGACAGGUGACGUCACUGUUUUUAAAUACAAAUUAUAGUUAAAAUUUAAUCUAUGCUGUUUGUAACAAAUAUGACAUUAUCAAUUAAAUACACAUAUAUUCCUUAUUACAGAAGAGUUCUUCUAAAAUGCAGAAUAUUAACAAAAUGUCGGUAUUUAACAUAAAAUUUUCUUAAAAGCAACUGUCACAACUGUAAGAAAAUGUUUUAAACUUGGGCGGAUACCUUGGAGUGAUGGAAUUUUUGUAAUUUUGCACAUUAGUAAUUAUCUAUUACUGUAUCAAAUAAUACGAUAAUAUUUCCAGUACUGUCAUGUCAAAAAUCUCUUCAGUCGAGUACUUUUAAGUUAUAAGACAUCAAGGACCUCUAAUUCAUAAAAUGACUAUAAUAAUAAAAUAUUUUGGGGAGACAGGAAAAAGAAAAGUCAAUUAAUGAUUAAAUGGACAUGUGACUAUUGAUACACUUACAUCUAGUCAUCACAAUAUUAUUCUUUAACUGAUGUAAAAUUAUGUCUAUAUUAUAAUACAUUCGAGUUAACAUGAACUAGAUCUACGCUCUUGGUUUUGCUCUUAAAUAUAGUUUAAAUCUAGGGAAUAUGCCUAUUUGGAUAUUAAAUCUGCAUUCAUCCUUUGCGGGAACAUUAAUUGUAAAUAAACAUUUGCCAUUUUAAAGGGUCGGGUUGCACAAUUUUCAUUUUCAAAGUCAAGCAAUAAUUUCUAAAAUUUUAUAGAUAUCGUUCAAAUCGCAGUAGUUUAAACCUAUGACUUUCUGUCAUUAGGUUAGGAUUUUGGUUUUCUUACAUUAUAACAUGUGACGUUUAGUUAAGUAUUUACAUAUUAAGUGACUGACAUCGACGCCGAAAACUAAGCCAUCCGAAUUCCUCAGCAUAAUUUGCACAAAUUCAUAGUCUUGAGUGUGAGCAUCAGUUUUGAGUUUUAUUACUAAAUGCAAAAAAAAAAAAAAAAGUAAUAAUAAUUAUUAUUAUAAUAUUAAUAAUAAUAAGAAUGACAAUAAUGAUGCAAUGAUAUGGAUGUUAUUGCUCAACGGUUUCGUCGUAUCAAUUUUAAUGAGUUAAGGUUAAAUAAGUUUUUGAAAUUUAUAUUAAAGGCGAUCAUUGGUAAUUAACGGCAUGGCUUAUGGGGAGAAUAGCAUUUCUUGAGAAAUUUUCUUUUAAGAAUUCGUACCAAGUGGAAUUGUUGCAUGUAUACAUCUGUUAGGAAACGAUGUGAAAAAUAAAAAUUAUAUAAUUAAUACUGCUGAGAAAUAUGAAAUUGUCAAAUAGACAAAAUAUAUGGAUCCAUGAAGAAUAAAUGAACGUGUGAUGAAAUUUGCUUUCAUCUAAUAUUGUUUAUCUUAGAAAUAAACACUAAAAUAAAAAUAAAAAAUAAAGAAAAAUAAAAAAAUAAAAAUAAAAAUAAAAAAAAAAUAAUAAUAAAUAUAUGCUUAAUACAGAAUACUAUUGCUGAUUCAAUGACACGUUUUCAAUGGUCAAGGUUAUUUCGGGAAUAGCCAUUAUGGCUAUUCCCGGAUUAACCACAACAGGCAUCUAGGCUUCCCUCCAAUACCAUUAAAGAUCCUGUUUCAUAUUUUUUUCAUGGUUUUAUUUCAUAAAUAUGAUGCUCAAAUUAAGAUCUGUCAAUAUUGUAAGUUCCAAUAAGUAUUAUUUAUAACGAUAUUACCUAAUUUAACAUUUCAUGUAAAUAAAGGGAGGUAAUUAGAAAUGUAUUUCCUAUAAUAAAGUCAAAUUUUCCAAUAAGAAAUGAAUGCAUAUAAUUUAUUGAUUAAUUAUAAUAUGCACAAAUGUUUGCAGUACACACUUUACAUAUUCUUCGAUGUUUGAAAAUUGUUUUAUUUGCAUAAUUAUAUAGUAUAUAUAAUACAUAUAUAAAUUUUUGCAAGUGUGGUAUACACUCAGUAACAAUAUCAAUUACAAAACAUACAGGAUCUUUAAGCAUUUCUUCAGAUAUUCAACCGGAAGUAGAAAGAUUAGUUUAUUAUCAAUUAGUUCGUCACCCUCGGGCUACAGAAAAUCUGGAAUUGAGUGAUAUGUUUAUUUUCGGUUCUGUUUUUAAUAUAGCCACCCUCAGUCUUACAUAAACUGAUAUAAAUGGCAUACCUGCUUUUGCAACAAUACGCACGUCACAACGUUGUUGCAUUUGCCUCAAUUACCUAAUGUAAACUAUAAAGCCUUGUUUAUAAAACAAAGCAAUUCAUUGUGUGACAGUAGCAUAUCGAGGUUGAAGAAUACUAGUUUGGACUAGAAAUUAAACGUAAACUUACUUAGAAAAUCUAAAAAAUUACUUAAGAAAUAUUUAUGCCUUCAGUUUGAAGAAAUUCUCUACUUUUUCGUCACGUGUUACUGACAAUAUCCAAAUUUCCAUCUUGAAACAACUUACUAAAAAGUACAUGUUUGACUAUAAUGAUAUAUUUAUUAAUUAACUAUAGGCAAAAUGUCCGUUUUUUAACCGCACACAAAUGAUCUACAUUCUAGAGUGUAUUGGUACGUUUAAUAGCAUCGCUUAAACGACAAAAUAGAAAAGGAAACGUAUUGAUGAUAUACAAUUGUAUCUUUAAUAGAUAUCCCAAUACAAAUGAUAAAGCUUCAAUGGCUGUACUUUCAUGCCAUUUAAUUUAAAACAGCAUGCCUCUAGAUU